AACAGUAAGAGAAAGAAAGAAAAAAUGUGGAGCGUUGCGUGCAAAGCUGCGCGGGUUUACCGUCAGAACAAACGGAAUCGUGUUCCUAUAGCUGUCCGAAGCUUCUCGAAUCCCUCCGGUCUCUAUGGUUUCCCCCAUUUGAAGACCGCUAAAGGCUUUCGACCAUUCGUCGACGAAGCCAUUGAAAGAGCUGGGGAACUUGUGAGUUACAUUUUCACAAAACCGCUGGCACCUGAAAUAAUGCGAGCGAUGGAUGAGAUUUCUGACGCUCUGUGUAGUGUCGUUGACUCUGCUGAGUUAUGUAGGAAUACUCAUCCGAUCAGGUUCUCUUCUUCUUUUUCUUUAUUGUUAUUAUUAGUAAGUGACUGAUAUAAUCUUUGGCUAUCUGAUUGAUAAUUGUUCUGACGCAAGUUGAGGUUGGUUAUGUUUGUUUUGGUCUAUCAGGGAGUUUGUUGAGGAGGCCAGCGAGGCAGCGAUAAGAAUUAAUGAAUAUAUACAAGUGAUGCUCGCUGCUGCUUGUUUUUCUUUUUGUUUAUCAUUGAUUUGUGAUAAAAAAACAUAGUCUUAGAAAAAGAAAGAUCAUAUGCUGUUGUUGUAUUUAGUAUUAAGAGUCUAUUUUGGGGGACAUGGUAGGGGAACACAAUAGGAUAACUUUUUCUAUCCUAUACUAUUUUUUGGUGUUUGUUUAACUGACAAGAUAAACUUUGUCUUAUAGGCAUAUUUAUCCUACUCUCAAGUGUAAAUUUUAUCCUGUGAAAGGGUCUAGGUGUGACUUGAUAAUGUGAAAGUCAUAUUUUCUUGCAAGAAAUCAUCUUUCUUUAGUGGAAGCAUUGUCUGUAUUGAUCUGGAAAAGCAAGUUCGAUUCAACAUGGGAUGGAAAUAUGAUUUCUAUCUUGGACAUAGGGUUAGGGUGUUGGAUGGAUGAAUUGUGGCAAUCAAGUUGGAGCAAAUGCUUAUUUAAUGUAAGAUUUCCAUGUAAGCAGUAGCGUGGCAUUAAGAACAAGUUUAUUACUGGUUGGAUGCUGGGGUAAGAGAAAUUAGUUGUGUCUGGCCAUAAAAACUGCUGGAGCACUUUAAAUUGAACCUAUACAUUUAAAUUUUUAAUCAAGACAGAGUCAGAUAUAUGAUGUAGAGUGUAGACUUCAUAUUUAGGGUUCAUUAGUGUUUGAUUAAAUGCAAAUCAACCUUGAUUUGAAAAAAGCAUGUGGUAAAAUUUAAUCUUUGAAAAUUUGGACUCUUCAAUGUAGUUCUAUAGUAAGAUGUUGACAGGAUUAUAUUAACACCUGAUAAGACUAAAAUUACAUGGGGGUCUAAUCCCAAUACAUUGCAUUUCCUCUCUUUGCUAUACAGUAUAUGAACACAAACCAUGACCUAUAUGAUGUGUUGAAGAAAGCGGAGCAAGAGUGUCAUAUGCUUUCUGAGGAAGGUCGAAGGGGAGUAAGAAGCUUACGUGUUGACUUUGAAAAUGGUGGAAUUCAUCUUUGCCCUGAGAAAUUAAAUCGCGUAAACAUGCUAAAUAGUGAAAUUUCUGAGCUAAGCAUAGAGUACAGUGAAAAUAUUGUCAAGGAUCCAGGAACUGUUGAUAUAUAUCCUUCUUCUCGCAUCCCCAAACAUUUGCAUUAUCUUGUUAAGCCUAUCUAUCGGUCAGAAUCUUUAACAACCAAGGAUUUAUCAACGUCCAGGGAAACCCAUAAAGAGAAAGGAUUUCAAAUUACAACAGACUCACAAACUCUUGCUUCUAUUCUCCAACUUUCAUCAGAUGAUGAGGUAGUUUUGGUUCGAUAUUCAGAAGUCUACCCUGAUAUGUUAAUACUAGUAGUAAGGAUUACCUGUAAGUCUUAUUAAGGAUGCCAGUAACUUCUAGUUAACUGAAAAAGCAGUUGUAAUCAAGUCUAAUCUUCUAAGUAACUUGCUAUUCAGACUCUAGAGUACCAAUUGCUUUUGCUGGUACUCACAAGUCAAAUAAUCCUAAGUAAUGAACUACACUUUUCCCCCCAUUCUGAACUAAAAUUAAUUCUAUGUGCUUCCCAUAGAAACCUGGUAUUUUGUUAGAAAAAAAUUGGGAUAGACAUUACUAUGACAAAAAACUGUAGAACUUUGAAGGAUCACCUUCCAAUGCCCGAAGGUGCCAAUUUCCUAUCUAAACCUCUUAUUUAUAGGUAACAUGCCUUAUUUCUUCAAUUGACUAACCUAACUUACUAAUUGACUGAUGUAAUUAACUAAUGGGCAUCUAUCAACUUCCUUCUUGGUGUUUUAAGGUUAGGAAAAUUGUAUAUAUACGAGGCAAUUCUGUGCCGCAUGCAAAUGUUGAUGUCCUCAAGAGGCUUAUAUCUGCCCGACAUGAGCUAGCUCAGUUAUUGGAGUAUAGAUCUUAUGCUGAAUUUGCUGUUAAGCUUAACAUGGCUUCAUCACCAAAAGUUGUAAUGUCAUUUUUACUUGAAAUGAGCAAGAUGGUCCAGGACAAGGCUAAAGAGGAGCGCAAGUUACUAACAAAAUUCAAGAGAGAAAAAUGGGGUCAAAGUGGUGAUUUAAGGCCAUGGGAUGAGGCCUAUUACAUGACAGUGAUGAAGUCCUCUGUACAUAAAUUAGAUUCUUCGGUAGUCGAUGCAUACUUUUCUCUGUCAAAUUGUAUUGAGGGUUUGAAAGUGCUAGUGCAGUCUCUGUUUGGUGCAACCUUUCAUAGCAUCCCUCUAGCACCUGGUGAAUCUUGGGACCCACAAGUGCUUAAACUGUCUCUUCAUCAUCCUGAAGAGUUUGAAGACAUUGAGACUCAAACUCAUUUCAGGGUGACCUAGGAUAUCUCUACCUUGAUUUAUACUCAAGAAAGGGAAAGUAUCCUGGUUGUGCUCAUUUUGCAAUAAAAGGGGGUCGCAGGAUUUCUCAAUCAGAAUACCAACUUCCAAUUGUAGCUCUUGUUUGUAACUUUUCCGGUUCACAGAAUCCAUCAGCUGUAAGGCUUAAUCCAUCGGAAGUAGAAACUUUAUUUCAUGAGUUUGGACAUGCUCUUCAUUCGCUGCUUUCAAGAACGGACUACCAACAUUUUUCAGGCACUAGAGCGGUUCUUGAUUUUGCAGAAAUACCAUCCAACCUCUUCGAGUACUAUGCACGGGAUUACCGAGUUUUGAAAAAAUUUGCAAGGCACUAUUCAACUGGUGAAGAAAUCCCUCAAAAGUUGGCUGAGUCGAUUCAGGGUACUAAAGAUAUAUUUGCUGCAACUGAACUACAACGUCAGAUCUUCUAUGCCCUUGUUGACCAGACACUUUAUGGAGAGAAACCAUUACCAUAUGGUGAUCCUAGUUCCGUUGUUGCAGAACUGAAAAGAGAGCAUACUAAUUGGGAACAUGUGGAAGGCACGCAUUGGGAGAGCCGAUUUAGUCACCUAAUUAAUUAUGGUGCAGGUGUGUCUGAAGUCUGAACAUUCUUUUAUUCCCUUGUAUCAAUGAUAUUGAGCGUAGUGAUACGUCAGUAAAUUUAUGUUUGUUCAUAUAUGAUCAUGUGCUAGCCUUGUGAGAAUGGCAGAAGUCAUUAUUCUCAAAUUAGCGAGUUAGAUCAAGUCAUAAUUGAUUUCCUUCGGAUAAACUGCAUUCCUCUGUGCUACACUUCAACAAGACUGCACAUUUUGAAUUUGAUUUUUAAUGUUAUGACAAGGAUCAAAGACUACUUCAUUUUAAAUAUUCCAAUGCCAUA